CCCUUAGAUGUUCUGGGCUGCACGCGCGCUACACUGAUGCAUCCAGCGAGUUGUACCCUUGCUUGGUAAAGUUUGGUAAUCUGAGGCUAAUGUGCAUCGUGAUGGGAAUAGAGUUUUGCAACUAUUAGUCUUGAACGAGGAAUUCCUCGUAAGCACGAGUCAUCAGCUUGUGCUGAUUACGUCCCUGCCCUUUGUACACACCGCCCGUCGCUCCUACCGAUUUCGAGUGGUCCGGUGAGCCAUUUGGACUAGCCUGUUUCAGGCUGGAAAAUCUAGCGAACCUUAUCACUUAGAGGAAGGAUAAGUCGUAACA
rnacentral:rRNA from 1 species